rnacentral:rRNA from 1 species
GUUAUAUGGUCAAGCGAAUAAGUGCAUACGGUGGAUGCCUUGGCAGCUGGAGGCGAUGAAGGACGUGGUAGCCUGCGAUAAGCUUCGGGGAGGUGGCAAACGACCUGUGAUCCGGAGAUUUCCGAAUGGGGGAACCCGGCCACUUUUAGUGGUCAUCACAUGCUGAAUCCAUAGGCAUGUGAGGCGAACCCGGGGAACUGAAACAUCUAAGUACCCGGAGGAAAAGAAAUCAACCGAGAUUCCCUAAGUAGCGGCGAGCGAAAGGGGAGGAGCCUGCAAGUGAUAGCAUCUGAGUUAGGGGAAGCGUCUGGAAAGUCGCGCGAUACAGGGUGAUAGCCCCGUACCCGAAAACUCGGAUGUGGUACUAAGCUUGCGACAAGUAGGUCGGGACACGUGUUAUCCUGACUGAAGAUGGGGGGACCAUCCUCCAAGGCUAAAUACUCCCAGCUGACCGAUAGUGAACCAGUACCGUGAGGGAAAGGCGAAAAGAACCCCGGUGAGGGGAGUGAAAUAGAACCUGAAACCGUAUGCAUACAAGCAGUGGGAGCCUGUCUUCGGACGGGUGACUGCGUACCUUUUGUAUAAUGGGUCAGCGACUUAAUCUCAGUAGCAAGGUUAACCGCUUAGGGGAGCCGUAGGGAAACCGAGUCUUAAAUGGGCGUUUAGUUGCUGGGAUUAGACCCGAAACCGGGCGAUCUAGCCAUGGGCAGGUUGAAGGUUGAGUAACAUCAACUGGAGGACCGAACCCACUGAUGUUGAAAAAUCAGGGGAUGACCUGUGGCUAGGAGUGAAAGGCUAAUCAAGCUCGGAGAUAGCUGGUUCUCCCCGAAAGCUAUUUAGGUAGCGCCUCGGACGAACACCUACGGGGGUAGAGCACUGUUUCGGCUAGGGGCCCGUCUAGGGUUACCAAACCGAUGCAAACUCCGAAUACCGUAGAGUGCUAUCCGGGAGACACACGGCGGGUGCUAACGUCCGUCGUGGAGAGGGAAACAACCCAGACCGCCAGCUAAGGUCCCCAAAUUCCAGUUAAGUGGGAAACGAUGUGGGAAGGCUUAGACAGCCAGGAGGUUGGCUUAGAAGCAGCCACCCUUUAAAGAAAGCGUAAUAGCUCACUGGUCGAGUCGGCCUGCGCGGAAGAUUUAACGGGGCUCAAACUGGAUACCGAAGCUGCGGCAGCAAUGUAAAUUGCUGGGUAGGGGAGCGUUCUGUACGCCUGCGAAGGCAAGUCGAGAGGCUUGCUGGAGGUAUCAGAAGUGCGAAUGCUGACAUGAGUAACGAUAAUGGGGGUGAAAAACCCCCACGCCGAAAACCCAAGGGUUCCUGUUCGACGUUAAUCGGAGCAGGGUGAGUCGGCCCCUAAGGCGAGGCAGAAAUGCGUAGUCGAUGGGAAACAGGUUAAUAUUCCUGUACCUCGCAUAAGUGCGAUGGGGUGACGGAGAAGGCUAGGCCAGCCUGGCGAUGGUUGUCCAGGUUUAAGGUGGUAGGCAGGCAAUCUAGGCAAAUCCGGAUUGUCAAUGCCGAGAGCUGAUGACGAGGCACCACGGUGCCGAAGUGGUUGAUGCCAUGCUUCCAGGAAAAACCUCUAAGCUUCAGCUUAUGCGAGACCGUACCCGAAACCGACACAGGUGGGUAGGUAGAGAAUACCAAGGCGCUUGAGAGAACUCGGGUGAAGGAACUAGGCAAAAUGGUACCGUAACUUCGGGAGAAGGUACGCUCCUGACGGUGAACGCUUCGCGCGGUAAGCUGUUGGGAGUCGCAGAGACCAGGUGGCUGCGACUGUUUAUUAAAAACACAGCACUCUGCAAACACGAAAGUGGACGUAUAGGGUGUGACGCCUGCCCGGUGCCGGAAGGUUAAGUGAUGGGGUUA